rnacentral:rRNA from 1 species
GACGUAGGGUGCAAGCGUUGUCCGGAAUUAUUGGGCGUAAAGAGCUCGUAGGCGGUUUGUCGCGUCUGCUGUGAAAACCCGAGGCUCAACCUCGGGCCUGCAGUGGGUACGGGCAGACUAGAGUGCGGUAGAGGAGAUUGGAAUUCCUGGUGUAGCGGUGGAAUGCGCAGAUAUCAGGAGGAACACCAAUGGCGAAGGCAGAUCUCUGGGCCGUAACUGACGCUGAGGAGCGAAAGCAUGGGGAGCGAACAGG